rnacentral:lncRNA from 1 species
CAUCCAAAGGCACUCAGUGCACCCGUCCACGCGGCCGGGCCGCGUUCGAGCCUUUUCCGUGACAGCCGAACGCUCCGCGCUGCGCUCUGCUUCGCACUCAUAUCCGCGCGUCCUCUGCGCUCCUCCCCCCGCCCCCGCGCACCCCGAAUCCCGGCACCCCGAGCUCUGCCCGCCCGGGCACGUUCACUGCAGUUAUCCUGCCGAGAAGCAGAAGGCAGCCGCAGCGUUUUGCCACAGAGCCCCACGCUGCGGCCCCCGUUAGCUCCCGGCCAUGCGUUGCUUUGCAGGGCUCCCCGCGGCCCGCGUAGCCCUCUCUUCACCCACAGGUACAGGUGCGGGGGCGCUUCCCCUCCUAACCCUAAAACCCUCCUUCUCCUCGUACACAAACCCCCUUACAAACCAUUCCCUGCUCGGCAGAAUCCCCCCCACCCCCCCGCCCCCAACCCUUUAACUAAGAGCUCGAAUCCGAAAGCUCCGGGCCGCCCGAGACGCCGCUCUGACCCGCGGGCACUGGGGGGCACGGACCGAGGGCCGCCCCCGGCUGACACACACACACGCACACGCCGAGGGCACAGCGAAGGGAGGGGGCAGCGCAAUAUCGGCCCGCGGGCGCGAUGCUCCACAGAGGUUCUGGCUCACAGGAGCCGCUGCGACUUUGACAGCUGUCGCUUUGGCUGCACAGGAGACGAAUCGCCCUCCUUUUGGUGCCAGAAGAAGCAGGAAAUUAGCCAGGUUGCAAGUUGAAAAUCUGCCACGCCAGUGCUUUGAAUCCAAUAUGCCACACCUUCCAGCGGGGGAACUGGAAAUUGCCAUCCCGGAUCUGUGUUCUAGGCGGCUGCUUAUGCCGAACCUCCGCACACUUUGUUCACUAUUGCCUUACAAAGAGCAAAUGAAAUGGGGAUUGAAAGCCAGAGAGAUCCGAAGCAGGACAGAGCUCAGCAAAAGAAUGCGGCUCUAUUCUCGCAAGGGAAAUUAUAAAAAAGUUCAUGUUCACGGUUACCAUCCACAUGACCGACAACGACCAAUGGAAAAACCGAACAACUCAUAAAGUUGUAUUGCAAAGUUGUAAAUUUUCAUAAACAACAACGGAUUUAUGGCCUUUUCCUCAUCACUAAGAAGAGGCAGGUCUUAGAGAGGCGCCAUCUUACCACAGAGGCAGCCCCGGAGUUUUUUUUACCAGACCUGUAGUUCGCACUAAUUUUAUUAAAAUUGCAAUUAGUACGUCGGCGGGGAUCGAGAGCGGCAGAAAAAAGGGAACUUCAGCGCAGAAGAUGCUCUCGUUCUACCUGCGUUCGGCCGCCUCGAUAAAGGGACAUUGCGGACUUAAAAAAAAUUUAUUUCAUUUUUAAAAUUUUUUUUUAAUUUAUAAUUUUUGAUUUUUUGAUUUCUGACUUUUUUUUCCUCCCCCCCCUCCAUUAUUGAAAACACUUUAUCGCCGUCGCGUGGUUCACAGCAGAAUUAACAUCUUUCCUAAAGCGGGGCUGUUUUUCCCCUUUUUAGCCCCAUUCCCGUGCCCCCCGGCUCCGGAAAGCCGCCCGCCCGCCCGCACCCGGGCUUUCACCCCGGGAAGUUUCGCCCCUCACUUUUUGCUCCUUCCCAAAUCUGGUUUCCCUGCCUGCGACUGGGGCUCUGUCACGGCCGCCUGGGCCAGGCUCGGGAUUUCUGGAGGACCUCGGAGCACGGUGGAAGGAAGAAGCCCGGCC